rnacentral:rRNA from 1 species
GACGAACGCUGGCGGCGUGCUUAACACAUGCAAGUCGAACGGAAAGGCCCUGCUUUUGUGGGGUGCUCGAGUGGCGAACGGGUGAGUAACACGUGAGUAACCUGCCCUUGACUUUGGGAUAACUUCAGGAAACUGGGGCUAAUACCGGAUAGGAGCUCCUGCUGCAUGGUGGGGGUUGGAAAGUUUCGGCGGUUGGGGAUGGACUCGCGGCUUAUCAGCUUGUUGGUGGGGUAGUGGCUUACCAAGGUUUGGACGGGUAGCCGGCCUGAGAGGGUGACCGGCCACAUUGGGACUGAGAUACGGCCCAGACUCCUACGGGAGGCAGCAGUGGGGAAUAAUGCACAAUGAGCGGAAGCCUGAUGCAGCAACGCCGCGUGCGGGAUGACGGCCUUCGGGUUGUAAACCGCUUUCGCCUGUGACGAAGCGUGAGUGACGGUAAUGGGUAAAGAAGCACCGGCUAACUACGU